rnacentral:misc_RNA from 1 species
AAAUGCGAUAAGUAAUGUGAAUUGCAGAAUUCAGUGAAUCAUCGAAUCUUUGAACGCACCUUGCGCUCCUUGGUAUUCCUUGGAGCAUGCCUGUUUGAGUAUCAUGAAAUCUUCAAAGUAAAUCUUUUGUUAACUCAAUUGGUUUCUACUUUGGUAUUGGAGGUCUUUGCAGCUUCACACCUGCUCCUCUUUGUUCAUUAGCUGGAUCUCAGUGUUAUGCUUGGUUCCACUCGGCGUGAUAAGUCAUCUAUCGCUGAGGACACUGUAAAAGGUGGCCAAGGUAAAUGCAGAUGAACCGCUUCUAAUAGUCCAUUGACUUGGACAAUACUUUUAUGAUCUGAUCUCAAAUCAGGUAGGACUACCCGCUGAACUUAAGC